GACGAACGCUGGCGGCGUGCUUAACACAUGCAAGUCGAACGGAGAUUUUAGCAAUAGAAUCUUAGUGGCGAACGGGUGAGUAACGCGUAGGCAAUCUGCCUUCUAGAUGGGGACAACAUCCCGAAAGGGGUGCUAAUACCGAAUGUUGUAACGACUUCGCAUGAAGUUGUUACUAAAGGUGGCCUCUGAAUAUGCUACCGCUAGAAGAUGAGCCUGCGUCGGAUUAGCUAGUUGGAGGGGUAACGGCCCACCAAGGCUUCGAUCAGUAGCCGGUCUGAGAGGAUGAACGGCCACACUGGGACUGAGACACGGCCCAGACUCCUACGGGAGGCAGCAGUGGGGAAUCUUCCGCAAUGGACGAAAGUCUGACGGAGCAACGCCGCGUGAGUGAAGAAGGUUUUCGGAUCGUAAAGCUCUUUCGUUAGGGACGAACGUGCUCUUUGUGAAUAAUGAGGAGUAAUGACGGUACCUAAAUAAGAAGCCACGGCUAACUACGUGCCAGCAGCCGCGGUAA
rnacentral:rRNA from 1 species